UUUCAUAAGAAAAUAAACAAAACAAAGAAAUAGAUUAAGAAAAUUGUAAUCACUUUAGUAGUUAUAUAAGCAGAACAUAACUUGAAACAGCAGGGAAUAAAAUAUAAUGUCAUAGAAGUAACAUCGUCGGCAUUUUUAUUCCUCCGCUCGAACAAACCUAAAACUGGCGCAGUCGGUAAAAACAAACUGCAAAGUUGAGCGAUACUAAAAACGGAAGUUUUUAAGUUUCGUAAGCUUUAGCAACGGGAAGCAAAUCCUAAGAUUAGCUCCCAUUUUAAAAAGAUCUCUUAUAUAUAUAUAAAUACAUAAGUCGGACUCCGAGGAUUACAAUUUGUGAAGGCGACGAAUAGAUUCAUUCCGCCCAUCAACAUUACCAGGAAAAGUGGGAUUAAAGAUUAAUGCCCCACACACAGAAGACGCAGAAAGAGCGAUCAGCAAUGCAUCCAGGUGAGCAGCAACCACUUCAGAUGACAGGAUCGCAAAUUUUGAAGAAUCAUGGACUUUGAUCAGAGAUUUAUCAUCGUUCAUCAGGGAAGUUGACAUGAUCCUUCCUUUAUUCAACCCCAACCCAUCAAUGUUGGAAUUUGCAACGCAGCGACACGUCAAAACAAAAAUUAAAGGAGAAGCAGCAAGUGUCAUCCGGCCUUUGGGACCUACACCAACAUGGCAGCAAAUGAGAGAAGAACUCAUAAAGAAUUUUGGAGUAAAGGAGUCGUACCACACCCUUUACAAUCAGGCGAUUGUACUACGAAACUAUAACUUAGAUUUUCGUUUUCAACAAUGCCACCAACCAGACAUACAAACUUAGGCCGCAGAACUCGAAAUACAGCAAAUCAAACUGAUGAGCAACGCGAAGCACGAAAUGAACUUCAAAGGAAUCGAAAACAACAUAGAAAUGUUAAGUUUAAUCCCUACAGAGCUGCAUUCAGUUAUAAUGUGGCAAUUGAUUACAGUUCAGAGCAAAUUGUUGCUAUUGGAUUAAUGAAUAUUGUGUGUCCACAUUGUAAUGCAUUGAAAUUCAAAAAUGAAGCCCCUGGCUUGUGUUGCGCCAGCGGUCAAGUCAAAUUGACGCCAUUGGUACCACCACCAGAACCACUACAUUCAUUGGUUUCUGGAAAUGGGCCAGGUUCUAAUCAUUUUUUGACUCAUAUCCAACAAUAUAAUAAUUGCUUUCAAAUGACAUCAUUUGGCGCAACAAAAGUUAUAAUGGCAAACAAUUUUAUUUAGUUUUACAACCAUGUAGCUGAUGCAAAAUAUGUUGAGCCAGUGCUGUGUAGAUAUGUUUAUUUUGUAAACAAUAAGUCAAAUACAUAAUAAUAGUCAAUAGUCCAAUGACUUAAUCAGCAACAUUUUAUAGCAUAUUGUAUUUCAUAAUGGCAUGAGCAAGGUGUUCCAACACUUAGUAAAGCCUACUACCUAAAGCUGUCAUAGAAGGCUGCUGUUCAAUGUGGAGGUUUAAAGUAGUCAUAAUUUGAAAUAAUGUAAAGAAUUGUGGCAGUGUUUUGCGAGGCACAUGGUGGUACAAACAAUUUGCUAUACAAUUACUUAAAUAUAUAUUUAUAAUCUUGAUGAAGAUUCAGGGUCAAAUAUAUCAUCGAACAGGUUCCUUAUUGCCAAUGUCUGAUGAAGACUAUAAAUAUUUACAAAUAUAAUUUAUCGGCAAUUCAGCAAGAGAAGUCGAUCAGCGUUGCGCACACAACAACUCAGUGAAAAGAUCCAUUGUGGAACAACUUCAAACAUUUUUCCAUCAACAUAAUGAAUUAGUUGCAUUAUUCACAACUGCAUUAGACCGCAUGCCAUCAGAUAAUCAGAGCCGAUAAGGACGCCAACAAUUGAUGAAGUGGCUAUUGUCGUCGUGGGAGAAAAUUUGGACAACCGAGACAUUGUUUUACAUCAGCGGAACUAUCAACUUCAGCUUGUGUCUGAAACAUAUCGAUCAUAUGAUGCAUUAAAAUAUCCUAUCCUAUUUUGGCAAGGAGAAGACGGCUAUCAUUUUUCAAUUAAGAUGAUAAAUCCAGUUACAGACUGAUGGUUCGGGAAAAUGAGGACAAUCACAUCUUAAGUGGCUAUCAUUUUUCAAUUAAGAUGAUAAAUCCAGUUACAGACUGAUAGUUCGGGAAAAUGAGGACAAUCACAUCUUAAAGUGUCGAAACUGAACGAUUGACAUUUAUCAGGUUGAACCAGGCAAAACUCCGUUCCGAGGAAUACAUUCAUCUUCGGGAUGCCAUUAAUGCUGAUGGAAAUGCACAGAAUGUUGGCAGAACAACUAUACUCCCAGCAACAUACGUCGGAAGUCCGCGACAUAUGCAUGAAUAUG